GAUGAACGCUAGCUACAGGCUUAACACAUGCAAGUCGAGGGGUAGCAGGGUAGCAAUACCGCUGACGACCGGCGCACGGGUGAGUAACACGUAUCCAACCUUCCCAUAACUCGGGGAUAGCCUUUCGAAAGAAAGAUUAAUACCCGAUAGUACUUUUUCAAGGCAUCUUGAGAAAGUUAAAGAUUUAUUGGUUAUGGAUGGGGAUGCGUUCGAUUAGAUAGUUGGUGAGGUAACGGCUCACCAAGUCUUCGAUGGAUAGGGGUUCUGAGAGGAGGGUCCCGCACAUUGGUACUGAGACACGGACUAAAAUCCUACGGGAGGCAGCAGUGAGGAAUAUUGGUCAAUGGGCGAGAGCCUGAACCAGCCAAGUAGCGUGAAGGAUGAAGGUCCUAUGGAUUGUAAACUUCUUUUAUAGUUGAAUAAAGUGACCUACGUGUAGGUUUUUGUAUGUAUACUAUGAAUAAGGAUCGGCUAACUCCGUGCCAGCCGCCGCGGUAA
rnacentral:rRNA from 1 species